GUUUUCAAACUUGUUCAGUUCAAUAUCCACUGCUCAAACCAGCAAGGACUCUGAUUCUGGGCAGUUAAUCAACACUUUCACACACAGAAAUGGGUUCAAGGUUUGCUUAAUUUGGAUCAUAUUUCUGGUCAAGUUAAUAAUGACAAAGAAAAUAAGAAACAUACAAGAAGGUAAUUUUUGCAUUUCUGGAUGGAAGAGGGUGCCAUGUUGUCUAUAACCCAUAAUUUAAAUCUAUCUCAGCUAGAUCACAUUACACUAAAAUAAAAGGCUGCAACAUCUUUUCUCUUAUGGGGCCUACUUGAAUGUAUUUAUUUGUUUAUUUAUCUAUUUAUUUAUGUAUUUUAAAUGUCUUUUUAAAGAUUUAGUACAUGGGUGCCAUAUAAUAAAUUAAGUAGAGAGGAUUUAUUUAGCUUCACACAGCUGGCCAUAGCCACUCUUGACAAACAAAGUUUUUAAUCUGUCCUUCAUAAAAAAUCCUAUUAAAGCAAUCAACUGCAGGCAUUGGUGAGAGUAUUUAGGAAAACACCAAUAUAUCAGAAUGUUUCUGAUCCUUGAGGGCUACUUUUUAUUAAAUGAUUCUUCCCUGGACUGUCCAUCUCUGACUGAGAUGUGAUUUUUACGAGAAGUACUCCUAAGGAAACAAGGGAAAUCAAAUGAUCCUAUAAUUUUUCUGCUGAGCCUGUAUCUACUCUGGAACCUUUCCUAUUACAUAUGACUUUCUCUAAAAGUUUCAGAGGCAGAAAUCAAUAGCCUCCUUCUUUAAAAUCUUGAUGAUGUUAUGAUUACUAAAAUACUAUUGUUAAGUGGAGUGAACAUUUUCUGGUUUACAUAGUGGGGCCUAAAAACUGAUGAAAGAUGAGCUAUUUGGCUGCCUUUGAAAUGUUGCUUUCAAACCAAAUUAUCACCCCAUACCUAACUAUUAUGCAAGUGUCUCUUUAAAUUACUUUGUCUAAAAAGAAAGGUUAUUUUUUAAACUCCAGUAUUGCUGUCAUUCAAGGAAUACAGAAUAUCAUUUUUUGAUAGCUGUGAGCAUACACAGAUAAAAUAAUUAUCUAUUACAACUCUCUUCAAGCCAGUAAGAUGGAGAAGUUCAUCUGGUUUUACGCUUUGCAAAAGCAGAAUUCAUAUGAAUCCCAAAAAUCAGAGAAAGACCACUGUCAUCAGGUGAGAACUAUGCUCUGUUCUACUUUUUCUAGUGCUCCAUCUAUUUAUUUUCAUACACUUGGUAAAACCUCAUAAUGGGGAAUACUGGUGAACUGUGCUGUGUAGUUGUGGUAAGGCUUACUGGAAAAAAAAACUGUGUGGGAUUUUUAAAGCUGAGGAAAGAGAAGGAAGAGUGAUCAUCAAAAUUAAUGUUUUAGAGGGAGAUUAGUAGCUCAGAAAAGCCAUUAAUUGUUUUUUAAAGCAUACUCUACCAUUAAUACAGUUAGAAAUAUUAAUUAUUUCCAAUUAUUAGGUAAGACAUUGAGAGUUCAAUUUUAUUUAUUUUUUUUAUUACUAAGGAACUUGUAAAGUAACCCUUGUGCAUCUGGCAGGUUUUGAAGUGAAGAAAUUGAAUGAAGUUUGCAUGACAGAAUAUAAAACAUUACCAGGUUUCUGCCUGUUGUAAGGUAGUGCAGGUGGUCAACACCAAAGUUAUUAUGCCUGCUGGAAUAUGCUGCUGGAUUUCAUCAUGGCUACACUUCAUUGCCCACAGUAUGUUGGAAGCUCACAUUAAGGACUGGAAAAAAACCUGUGCUCCUAAUGCAGAGAGAAUAUCAGAUCAGUGUUAUAUCAGGAACACAAGGACUGCUCCUCCAGGUAUCUCUACAUCUGAGGCGGGAGAUCUUGAAUCACAUGAGAAUUUCCAUCUUCUAUCUAGCCUCAGCAGCAGUCCUGCCACAGCUAGAAGAAGGUUCUUCACUUGUGUCUGCAGCAGUACAAAAAUGCACUGGUUAAUGAACUUCUCAUUUCCCUGAAAAGUGUACUCUCCAGCCACAAACAGACAGUUUCCUCCAGGGAACAACACAUGCAACUUCUUGAAUUGAUAGAAAAUAUCUGAUAAAAUGAUAAUUUUAUUAUUGUACUAAUCAUGCCUAAUUCUUAACCAAUACUUUAGAUGCCUAAAUGGCUUCUGCCCUAUAAUUUAUGUUGUUUUUUCAGAGGAAGUGGUUUUCUAGGUACCAUUUGCAUAAAUACGCUCUUUUUUAUUAUCAGAAUAAUUUCCUGCUUUUUGAGAAAGCAAGAUCUUCAGAGAUGAGCAUAUAAGAUAAUAGUAUUGGUAUGAAAAUAUGAGCUCUACAAUUAAAAAAAGAAAUACUUUGCUUUCUUAUGAAAAGUCCAUCUGAACCUCAGUGAAUCUUUUAAGUUCAUAGUUAAAUUAUGAAGUGCUCUGUAUGUUAGCUAAAUAUUUAUGUCCUACAUUACUACAAAAAGAAGUUCUGGCCUCCUCUGGACCAAUAGCCAUGUGUUUCCAUUGAGGAUAAGAUUUUACCUGCAGCUGGAAAUAAGAACUGGUUCAGAGAAUCUGGUUUAACCAUUAUACUCCUCAUCACAUUGACCUGCUGACAGAAAGCUUGCAUCACACACAGCCUUUUUUUUUUUUAAUACAUUAUACUUAUUCAGAAGACAAAAGAAACCCUCUGUUCAAGUCUUCUCAUGGUUAAACAGCUGUAAAGCUGUUAUGCUGGGCACCAGCCAGCUCUUCAGAGAAUUGACAGGCAACUAGAGGGCCCUUCUCAUACUCGAACUCACCUCACUGGGUACAAGAUCACACAAGUCUUGCUCAGGGGCAAGAUGUUAUCUGGCCUAGGAUUUAAGGUUGAAUGCAAACCCAAAAAUAAGGAAAAAAAAAAAGAUCUAAGCACCUACCUGUGGAAAGGCUGACAUUUUGGUAACUACAUCCAAAAUAGAGCUCCUGAAAGCCCCUUUUCAAAUGCCAUAUAAGCAUAAAAGGCACCUAGUUUUCACAGUUUUUGCACUUUGUGGCCUAAAAGUUUCCAAAGAGCUUAACUUGUGCUCAAUUGCAGAAGAGCUCAUGCUCUGACAUGGUUGAACACUGCACCGUUGAUCCCUGCACUGUAAAGUUCUCACUGAAGACCCAGCUGCCUUCCUUCACUGAAUUCCCCUCGGGGUCUUCCUGACUUGCUAAGCAUCAUCAGGGUAGAGCUUAUGCAUGCAGACCAGAUCAGAUCCCCAGAAAACAUGGAGUGCUGUCACAGCUACUGAAUUUGAAAGAGGACACAGUGCAAUUAAACCACUGAUGUAAAACAUAGGGGCUUCCCCAGGAAGUGGGAAAUGAAAGUUAAUUCCUCCCCUUGCCAAAGGGAUUUCUUUCUUCUUAAGUUGGUGGUCAGAGGUAAUAGGCUAUGCAUAAAAUAACUAAGGUUCUUUGAGCCAGAAAGAAGCCAGAAAAGUCAGCAUGACUCCUCUGAGAAUGACACAUCCUUUUUGACUUGGCUAUUUAGUAACUAACCAACUGUGCUUUCUGUUUAAAAUUCUCUGAAUCCUAAAUUCUUUUCUGAAAAGUGACAAAACAAGUUUCAACAAGCAUGUGGAAUUUAGCUUUCCUCCCCCAGCUGCCAAUGUUACCUGGAGCUCUGUGGUUAUUUCAUUUGCCUGAGGAAAAACUAGGAGGAAUUGAACUAUUCCUGGAAGCUGAAAAGAGACUCAAACUCAGGCUGUGCCCUAUCCAGAAGCCAUUUACUAAGUGGCUGUGGCUGGUAUCUGCUUCAGGUUGAACACAAAUUUUCAAAGAUUGUCAUCCAUAACCUGAUCUCUGUGAUGAGAACAAGCAUUAUACAUGUCAGUGUCCCUCGUGAAAAACCCAGGAUAUAUUUUACAUAGAAGGUAUGAACACAGAAAUUCAGUAUUUCUUGUCAUUUCUAUCUUCUUGAAUUACCCAGUCUCUUUCAAACACGUUCCCAUGUGCAGCUCACAAAUACAACCUCUGCUCAAUUAUGCAACAAAGAGACAGAUGAGGUAAUAGCUGAUACAACAUUGUCAGACAUGGAGAAAUCACUUCUGGUCUGAAGGACCAUGGAAUCACAGAAUGAAUUGGGUUGGAAAGGACUCAAAGAUCAUCUGUUUCCAGCUGCCCUGCCAUGGGUAGGAAUGCCAUCCACUAGAUCUGGUUGCUCAAGGACCCUUCCAACCUGGCUUUGAGCACUUCCAGGGAUGGGACAUCCACCACCUCUCUGGGCAGCCUGCUCCAAGGAUGAGACAUUUCAGCACGGUCACUUGCCAGCUUUGAUAUCUACACCCUGUCUACCUCAGAAACACACAGGCUUGAUGCUUCUUCUACUUUUUGGUCAGAGAUUAUAUGAUUUAGUCUCAUCCUUCUGGCUCUUGUGUGGUCUAUUUAUCCCUCCACAAAAGAAAAUUGAAGGGAUUAACCAGCCUUUCAAUGUGAAAAGAGGUAAAGACUCAAUAAAGAUUUACAUCAUCUCUUAGUGGCAUAACACACAUUUUAAUGAGUUUUUGCUUGACAUGCAAGGCCAGUACAAUAUGAAAGAUUGCUAAUGAAUACAAUAAAGCCUAACAUUAAGCUUUUGACUUCAUCCAGGAACAGCAUAUAAUGCAAAGCUGAGGUCAAAAAUCAACACCUAAAUCUUUGUGCUAUGGUAUUUUUCAUGUCAAUGUGAUCCAAAUUUGUUUUCUAUUUAUAUUUCUUGGACUUUAUCAAUUUAAGACAGUAGUUUGAGAUUUAUUUAAGUAUAGGAUGUUAGAUAUAAUUUGCAUCUAUUAGUGCAAGCUAGACCUUUUGCUGCCCUCAUGGGUGUAUGAAUGUCAAAGAGACUCAGCAUUCCAGGAAUACCAUAAUGAACUAAAUAUGAAGUCAAACUCACGGGGAAAAAACCCACAUCAAAGGUGAAGUAUGUUUUCAAUCAAUCUCUUCAGAUGAUUCAGCUAGGAACAUCAAGAUUGUAUAAUGACCUGCAGACCUGAUUCCCAUGCACAGCUCUAUGGAGUAAACCAACAGCAAAUGAACUGUGAAAACCAUUAUUUUCACUGAGAGCCUAAGUAACAUUUAUUUGAAACUUUUUCUGUUUCAAUGACAUUUUAUUUUAAAGAGACACUAAAAACACAACAUAAUUUGGCAUUAGCCUUUCCUGGCACAGAAGGGAAUCCAAAUCUGACCUCAUUUGUACUUCUAAUCAAAAUUACCUUCACAUCACACCUUUAAAAAAAAUUCAAAAUCCCCUGUAUUCAAACUAUGGCUGGAUUGAUUUCUUCUCUAUUGAUUUAAAGUUCUACAAUGCAUAAAAAUGCCAAAAGUGUGCAUGUUUGUAAAUUUAUAUAUUUAGGUGCAUAAAGAGAUGCAUAUAUGUAGAGACAUGUAUCUUUGCAUACAUACAUAUAUAUAUGCAUAUGUAUAGAUGCAUCUGUUUGCAUAUAAACAUAUGAACACUUGUACAUUUUAAUGCAUUUAAUAUAAGAAUCAUGGAGAAAUUUCUUGGCAGCACUGACGCAGCUCCUCCUCUUUUACAGGGAACAUUGCAUUCUAACAAAGAAUUCUUAUAAUUGCUUUAAAAAACUACAUGUGGCUCAACUCCAUGCAGCUACACACUCUACGGAGCUGUGUGAAAUCUCCUUAGGAAACCCCAAAUCAGUUAAAGCUCACCUAGUCAGAGGCUUUUUAAUAGCCUGACAUUCACCUUUGGGUCAUUACAAUGACUGUGUGAUCUUUUAAUGGAUGAAGUAACUGUACAUCUAAAGAUUUUUUGUUUUGAAAGAGAUGCUACAGAAAGAAGUUUUAAAUAAAUGACACUGAAACUAGAAAAGGCCAUGAAAAAAUGCUUGUUUAUUCAGAACAAAACCAGAAAAUUCAGUUUGAUAGUACUUGCUAUUGCUUUUAUCUUUCUGCCAAUAUUUAUUUGCUUAGCCUGUCAGUAAGGGUUGACUCAUGGACUGUGUAUGUACAAGUGUUUGUGCUGCACCAGUUCAUGAGCUUGCCUUGGGAGCUGAUGUUGGCAUGGGAAUUUAUCCAACAAGGAAACAGAAAUGGUGUCACAUAUGAAAGAGAUGACCAAAGGCUUAGACAUGUAGAACAAAAUACAUAUAGUGAAAAUCUCAGGACUGUCAAUAUUUUUGAAUUUGGAACUUCUGCUUAUUACUGCAACAGGGUUGUGCUGAGCAUGGCACAGAGACAGGAUGCCCACAGGCACAUGUGAACAACUCACCAUCAACCUUUGACUGAAGUUACUCAUUGGAUGAGUAACUUCAAAGGCUGCACACACUAUAACAUUCAGAACAUAUUUGUAUGUAUCUCAAAAACAGUUACAUUUGCUGGAUAAACCAUUUUCUAUUAAAACAGAUCACUCAGUAUAAGAUGGCAUUAAAACAAUCUGGACAACUUUGUCUAAGUUUUCAUGUGUUUUCCCCUUCAACUUACUCUGAAGUCUAAAAUUCACAGCCAAAAGGAAGUACAGGGAAAGGUUUAGCUCUGUAUUAAGACAAAAGAUGACACAAUUACACAAAUAGAACUCCAGGUGACAUUAUUUGUCAAUUUGUGACUAAUUUUCAGUGCUCACCAAGGUGCUUGGCUGAACUAGUUACACAUCACAGUGUGACUGACCUCACUUUAAGAGCGCAUUUAACUAGGGGUAAAUGGAAAAUUAAUAACAGGGAUAAUCAAAUAUCAGACUUGGUAAAUUUAGGAGGAACAUAAAUUUAAAGGAUUGUAUACAGCAUAUUAACACCAAAAUAAUUUUAUAGCACAUAAAGCAACUCCUUUAAUGAAAAACAAAUACUAAUGCAACAUUCUGCAUUCCUUUCCCACUUUGCUCAGCUGAAUGUUCAAGUUAAUGUUCAACAUAUUUAAUAUUUACAUACCUCACUGGAUUAGAUUGUUUAUUUUGCUAGUUUUACCAUAUGUUCAAAAUGCUAUGCAAACAGUGAUGACCAAAUGCUGGUCAGAAGAAGUUGUAUCACAGAUUGAAAACACUACAUCCUGUUUUAGACCAUGCAUGUGCACUAGAUGAAGGUUUAAGAUCUCUUUCAGCUCAGUGAUUCAAAACUUCAGGUCAUGCUUGAUGAUCAUAGUCUGAUGGCUAUAAAGAACAGACACAAGAAGCUGCUUUCAUCAACAGCCUCUUUUACUUGUGCCUUGUAGUGGUUUAUUCAAAAAAAUAAAAUCUGCCACUGACCAGGAAAUCAUAUCUGAAACCUCAAAAGCCAGAGUAAUAAUGAAUAUUUAGGUUGAGUCUGCUCUUUGAUUUUCUUUUCAGUUGGAAUGAUUGAUAAAUAUCCCUCUAGCAAGUAAUAAUUCUUGACUGAUGGAUUACUUCCUUCUUAGACAUUUUGAAUCAAACCAACACAGACAUUUUGAUCGCACUUCAUUCUUUUACAUUAAUGCAGCAUAAAAUCCUCCCACUGGUACAUAUGUGUCAGAUGGAAACAUUAUCUUGAAUUCAUAAAUAUUUAUUGAUAACAAAUCUUAUAUGAAGUUUCCUGGAUUGCCAACAAAAAUGUAAAUACAAUAGAUUUAUCUUCUUCAAGAACUCUAAAUACUGAUUAUGCUAAUUUAUUUGGAACAGAUAAGGGCCUUGAAAAGAUGGACAUCAGGCCUGUUGGCUUUUAUUUUUACAGAUCCCCAAAGAAUGCUCUGUAGUUUAAAAUGUAAACAGAAAUGGGUUUGCCUCAAGCUAGUUUUUAUCUAAUAUUAAAUGCAACUUGUUGGUGCCAAGUAUUACAAGGGAAAACAGGAUGAAUGUUACAAGAAGAUCAUGAAGAAGGUCAUCAUAAUUGUGCGCCCCAGGCUUCUGCACAGGAGAGCUUUCAAGGGGUACAAGUUUUAAAGGCACUAGGGCAGAUCCAAAGCGAACAUAAAGAUGCCUGGUCCUUUUGAAGUCAGCAGAGGCAGCCUGAUUUGCACUGCAGAGACUCCUGUCUCUGAACAGGUAAGCCAGCAAUUCCAUGACGACUAGUUAACGAGCUGUCAAAGCCUAAACACCAGUUAUCCACUCCUCUGCUUCCAGGAAAGUGACAUACAGCCAGAACUAUCUGUGUAGCAUUUAAGCAUCUGCCACAGAUGGGGAAUUUAGCACACUCGCUGAAAUUAUUCCAGGAAUCCCUAAACCAUAUUUGAGCAUCAGUAAGAGUAUAGAGGAAUGCACAGUUAUCAAGAAUGCCAUCUAGUGUACCCUCCAGCAACACUCCACCAUAACAAACUCUCUGCUCACCAAAAGAAACUGAAAUGAUGAUGAACUGUAUAUCACACUAGAUUGUGAUAGAUGGGGCCAUUAAUAGCAACCUGAGAAGAGUCACAUGGCUGGAUCUAAUGGAAAUCACAUGGCUUUUCAAAGCAGCUUGGAGUGUUUUGUUCUAUAGGAUGGCACAAGAUUCUCUGUAUAUGAUUAUAUAAAAUUAUUCUAGUCUCCUCCAGCCUGUCUCACUAAUCUUUCAUUAGGAUGCCUUGUGGCAAGCCUAUAACCAGAGCCUAUAACCUCCCUUUUCUGUCUCUGAAUCAUUGUGAAUGUAGGAAAGAGGAAAUUUUGUGAAGCAAGUCCC